CCUGUAGCUCAGUUGGUAGAGCAAUGGACUGAAAAUCCAUGUGUCGGCAGUUCAAUUCUGCCUGG
rnacentral:tRNA from 1 species